rnacentral:rRNA from 1 species
UGUGUAGGCGGUUCUUUAAGUUCGCUGUGAAAUCUCCCGGCUUAACCGGGAGGGUGCGGUGAAUACUGAGGGACUAGAGUACGGGAGAGGAAAGUGGAAUUCCUGGUGUAGCGGUGAAAUGCGUAGAUAUCAGGAGGAACACCGGUGGUGUAGACGGCUUUCUGGACCGUAACUGACGCUGAGACACGAAAGCGUGGGUAGCAAACAGGAUUAGAUACCCUGGUAGUCCACGCCCUAAACGAUGCAUAUUUGGUGUGGGCAGUUCAUUCUGUCCGUGCCGGAGCUAACGCGUUAAAUAUGCCGCCUGGGGAGUACAGUCGCAAGGCUGAA